rnacentral:rRNA from 1 species
GACGAACGCUGGCGGCGUGCCUAAUACAUGCAAGUAGAACGCUGAAGAGAGGAGCUUGCUCUUCUUGGAUGAGUUGCGAACGGGUGAGUAACGCGUAGGUAACCUGCCUGGUAGCGGGGGAUAACUAUUGGAAACGAUAGCUAAUACCGCAUAAAAUUGAUUAUUGCAUGAUAAUUAAUUGAAAGAUGCAACUGCAUCACUACCAGAUGGACCUGCGUUGUAUUAGCUAGUUGGUGAGGUAACGGCUCACCAAGGCGACGAUACAUAGCCGACCUGAGAGGGUGAUCGGCCACACUGGGACUGAGACACGGCCCAGACUCCUACGGGAGGCAGCAGUAGGGAAUCUUCGGCAAUGGGGGGAACCCUGACCGAGCAACGCCGCGUGAGUGAAGAAGGUUUUUCGGGAUCGUAAAAGCUCUG